UUGUCUAGGUCUCAGUAAGGAACUCCCCUCACCUGGUUGUCUAGGUCUCAGUAAGGAACUCCCCUCACCUGGUUGUCUAGGUCUCAGUAAGGAACUCCCCUCACCUGGUUGUCUAGGUCUCAGUAAGGAACUCCCCUCACCUGGUUGUCUAGGUCUCAGUAAGGAACUCCCCUCACCUGGUUGUCUAGGUCUCAGUAAGGAACUCCCCUCACCUGGUUGUCUAGGUCUCAGUAAGGAUCUCCCCUCACCUGGUUGUCUAGGUCUCAGUAAGGAACUCCCCUCACCUGGUUGUCUAGGUCUCAGUAAGGAACUCCCCUCACCUGGUUGUCUAGGUCUCAGUAAGGAACUCCCCUCACCUGGUUGUCUAGGUCUCAGUAAGGAACUCCCCUCACCUGGUUGUCUAGGUCUCAGUAAGGAACUCCCCUCACCUGGUUGUCUAGGUCUCAGUAAGGAACUCCCCUCACCUGGUUGUCUAGGUCUCAGUAAGGAACUCCCCUCACCUGGUUGUCUAGGUCUCAGUAAGGAACUCCCCUCACCUGGUUGUCUAGGUCUCAGUAAGGAACUCCCCUCACCUGGUUGUCUAGGUCUCAGUAAGGAACUCCCCUCACCUGGUUGUCUAGGUCUCAGUAAGGAA